AUGCCAUCUCUUCUCGAGAAAAAUGCAACAUCAGUUGAUGUAGAGGCCUGGGCGCACCCCUUUUUCGAAAAAGAAAAGAAAAAUGCACCCCAAGUGGUCGACACUGGCACAACAAUAUCAAUAAGGCUGCUGUCGGGUAAACUACCUGUGAAACGACAAGGUCAAAAAGAAGUGAUCGCAUUGCCUCUUUUUGCGGUUUUUCUUAUCAAUAUGAAGACCAACAAUCGUAUACAUGAUGCACUGGAACUGAAAGCCGGCAUCCUUAGCCAUUGGGGCAGUAGCCUCGUAGAGAGGAUUGCAGAGUAUGCUUCAACUGUCAGCCAGGAUCGCAAUUCAUUGUUGCCAGAGGUACCUUCAGGGUUAGCGUCACAUAAGGCGCUGGAUGGCCUUGAAAAAUUCAAGCUCAACACCUCACAGCAGAAGGCGGUACUUGAUUGUGUUUCAGCAAUGGAUCAAGCUAGGUGCUGGGUGCGCCUUAUCUGGGGACCACCUGGAACAGGGAAAACCAAGGCCAUCAUAUCUCUCUUGUGGUCAAUGCUGAUGAAAAACCACAGGACACUAGCUUGCGCUCCGACCAACACGGCGGUUGUGGAGGAUGUUCGAUCGGAGCGUAGGGGUGAUAUUUUGCGGCUGCAAGGGGUGGGGGAUGCUGAACUAGAGAGGAGGAGGAAGGUGACAUUCAACGAAUUCUUCAUAGACAAUUACGAAUGUCAUGAGGAAGCACUGCGCCACUGCUUCGAGACUCUCCACAAUGAUCUGCCCCUAUCCGCUAGGAGAUUUGAUUACCUGGAUGAGACCCUGCGCUCGCUCGAAGCUUUCGGGAAACUUCUCCGGUCCGAGCCGGAGCGCCCGCUUGGGAAACUCUUCUUCAAAAACGGGGGGUGGCCAGAGUUCCAAGAAGCAAGAGCAUUGUGUCUUAACAAGCUAGAACACUUGCCCGAUUGGUUUGAUUUGCUUCCAAGCGAUUCAAGCAAAAUUGAAGACUACGUACUGAACAAUGCCACGAUCAUACUUUGCACUGCUGCUAGCUCAUUUAAUCUGCGCCGCGUCCGUGAUUUCCAGCCGUUUGAGCUCCUUGUUAUCGAUGAGGCGGCGCAGCUCAAGGAGUGCGAGUCGCUGAUACCUCUACAGCUUGGUAUCCACCGUGCUGUUCUUAUCGGUGAUGAAUGCCAGCUACCAGCGCUUGUCAAAAGCAAGCUCAGCGCUGAGGCUGGCUUUGGAAGAAGUCUGUUCGAGAGGCUGUGCUUGCUAGGACACCCGAAGCACCUCCUCGAUGUGCAGUACAGGAUGCACCCAGAAAUAAGCAAGUUCCCCAUCUCAAGUUUUUACUGUAGGAAGGUGACAGAUGGCCCCAACGUCCUUCACAGAGACUACGAGAGGAAGCUCCUGGACGGCCCAAUGUAUGGCCCCUACUCCUUCAUCAACAUCCAAGGUGGGAUCGAAAGCUCGGGCAUGCAUGGCACGAGCCUGAGCAACGCUGCUGAGGUCGCUGCGGUGACCCGGAUUGUGCAGAGAUUGUCCCAAGUUGACAUAAGAAGCAAGCUCAGCGUGGGCGUGGUAUCGCCAUACAAGGCCCAAGUCCGUGCCAUCCAGGAGAGCCUUGCUUUGGAGCACGACAAGUAUGGCGGUUUAUCCGUAAAGAUCCGAACCGUGGACGGGUUCCAGGGUGCCGAGGAGGAUGUUGUCAUCUUCUCCGCCGUGCGGGCCAAUACCCAUGGAUCGGUCGGGUUCCUCUCCGAUCAGAGGCGUACCAAUGUGGCACAAACACGGGCCAAGCAUUGCUUCUGGAUUCUUGGUGAUGCGGCUACGUUGUCGAGCAGCAGGACAAUCUGGCAGAAGAUAGUGGCCGAUGCAAAGGAAAGAGGAUGCUUCUAUGAUGGCAACGACGACAAAGACCUCUGUUCUGUGGUGAGCGUCGCGAUCAAGAAGGAUGAAGUCAACCGUCUGCUCAAGAUGGUGGAUGCUCGUCUUGGUAUAUGCAGCUCAUAA
rnacentral:rRNA from 1 species